UUAUCAAAAAAAAAUUACAAUAAAAAAGUUAAAACAAAAUUGAAACUCAAAAAAGCAUGCACUGCAGCCAUGUUUGCGAGGUACAUAGACCAACUUCUUGCCUGCUUAUAAACAAUUUGUGAGGUACAUGGAACAACUAGAAAUGAAUCUGAUCAUGAAAAGAAACAUUUAUGUCAAUGUAAAAACAAAAAAAAUAAUCAAAUUUUAAGAAGACAAAACAACUCUGCAUUAAGAAAUCAAAAGAAUUAUACACUUAUGUCGACACAAUAUUACCCUCAGAAGCAUAUCCAGGUUGCGAUAAUGGACCACCGACAGAGGGCU
rnacentral:lncRNA from 1 species